rnacentral:rRNA from 1 species
UACAGAGGUCCCGAGCGUUGUUCGGAUUCACUGGGCGUAAAGGGUGCGCAGGUGGCUUGGCAAGUUUGAUGUGAAAGCUCAGGGCUUAACCCUGAAAUGGCAUUGAAUACUGUUGAGCUGGAGGUUUGGAGGGGGGACUGGAAUUCUUGGUGUAGCAGUGAAAUGCGUAGAUAUCAAGAGGAACACCAGUGGCGAAGGCGAGUCCCUGGACAACACCUGACACUGAGGCGCGAAAGCUAGGGGAGCAAACAGG